rnacentral:rRNA from 1 species
CGUACCGAGUAAUGGGGGAUAACGCAUCGAAAGGUGUGCUAAUACCGCAUACGCCCUGAGGGGGAAAGCGGGGGAUCGAAAGACCUCGCGUUAUUCGAGCGGCCGAUGCCGGAUUAGCUAGUUGGUGGGGUAAAGGCUCACCAAGGCGAUGAUCCGUAGCAGGUCUGAGAGGAUGAUCUGCCACACUGGGACUGAGACACGGCCCAGACUCCUACGGGAGGCAGCAGUGGGGAAUUUUGGACAAUGGGGGCAACCCUGAUCCAGCCAUGCCGCGUGUCUGAAGAAGGCCUUCGGGUUGU